rnacentral:rRNA from 1 species
AGAGUUUGAUCCUGGCUCAGGACGAACGCUGGCGGCGCGCCUAACACAUGCAAGUCGAACGAGAGAGAGGGAACUUGCUUCCUUGAUCGAGUGGCGAACGGGUGAGUAACGCGUGAGGAACCUGCCUCAAAGAGGGGGACAACAGUUGGAAACGACUGCUAAUACCGCAUAAGCCCACGACCCGGCAUCGGGAANAGGGAAAAGGAGCAAUCCGCUUUGAGAUGGCCUCGCGUCCGAUUAGCUAGUUGGUGAGGUAAUGGCCACCAAGGCGACGAUCGGUAGCCGGACUGAGAGGUUGAACGGCCACAUUGGGACUGAGACACGGCCCAGACCUCCUACGGGAGGCA